UACGAAGGUGGCAAGCGUUGUUCGGACUUACUGGGCGUACAGGGAGCGUAGGCGGUUGGAUAAGCCCUCCGUGAAAUCUCCAGGCUUAACCUGGAAAGUGCAGAGGGGACUGUUCAGCUAGAGGAUGGGAGAGGAGCGCGGAAUUCCCGGUGUAGCGGUGAAAUGCGUAGAGAUCGGGAGGAAGGCCGGUGGCGAAGGCGGCGCUCUGGAACAUUUCUGACGCUGAGGCUCGAAAGCGUGGGGAGCAAACAGG
rnacentral:rRNA from 1 species